rnacentral:rRNA from 1 species
GACGAACGCUGGCGGCGUGCUUAACACAUGCAAGUCGAGCGGUAAGGCCCUUUCGGGGGUACACGAGCGGCGAACGGGUGAGUAACACGUGGGUGACCUGCCCUCAGCUCUGGGAUAAGCCUGGGAAACCGGGUCUAAUACUGGAUAUGACUCCAUGACGCAUGUUGUGGGGUGGAAAGCCUUGUGCGGCUGAGGAUGGGCCCGCGGCCUAUCAGCUUGUUGGUGGGGGAUGGCCUACCAAGGCGACGACGGGUAGCCGGCCUGAGAGGGCGACCGGCCACACUGGGACUGAGACACGGCCCAGACUCCUACGGGAGGCAGCAGUGGGAAUCUUGCGCAAUGGGCGAAAGCCUGACGCAGCGACGCCGCGUGAGGGAUGACGGCCUGGUGUAACG